rnacentral:lncRNA from 1 species
UGAUUAUCAUUUUUAUCCUGUCAUAUUUUGUCUUGUAUCCUAAACACUCUUCAAAGCAAACAUGCAACAAUAAAUUGUUUUUUUCAGCCUUACAUUUUUGCAAAUGAAACGGAUUCAAAGUCAAAUAUAUAUACCAAGAUCUUCAGCAUGGAUCUAUGGUUACCAAGGUAAACACGAUAUUAACAUUAAAAAAAAGACUGUACAGAAAAAAUAAGGGUUAUCUCGAGCUUCUGAAUUACUAAGACCUAUGUUGUAGUCACACCAGUUCACAUAAGUGCAGUGAGAGAAUUUGACAGAAGAGCUGUUUAUAUUGAAGGGUUCCAAGAGCCGAGAGGACCAGUUGGACAAUGCAAGUAUAAACACCU